UACGUAGGCAGCAAGCGUUGUUCGGAAUUACUGGGCGUAAAGAGUGUGUAGGCGGUGCUCUAAGUUCGGUGUGAAAUCUCCCGGCUUAACUGGGAGGGUGCGCCGGAAACUGGAGUGCUCGAGCGUGGGAGAGGAAAGCGGAAUUCCUGGUGUAGCGGUGAAAUGCGUAGAUAUCAGGAGGAACACCUGUGGCGAAAGCGGCUCACUGGACCACAACUGACGCUGAUGCGCGAAAGCUAGGGGAGCAAACAGG
rnacentral:rRNA from 1 species